rnacentral:rRNA from 1 species
CCUACGGGAGGCAGCAGUGGGGGAUAUUGGACAAUGGGGGAAACCCUGAUCCAGCGACGCAGCGUGAGUGAAGACGUAUUUAGGUAUGGAAAGCUCUAUCAGCAGAGAAGAAAGAAAUGACGUUACAUGAGUAAGAAGCCCCGUCUAACUACGUGCCAGCAGCCGCGGCAAUACGUAGGGGGCAAGCGUUCUCCGGAAUUACGGGGUGUAAAGGGAGCGUAGACGGUAAUGCAAGUCUGGUGUGAAAGGCUGGGGCCCAACCCCAGGACUGCUCUGGACACUGGGUAACUGGAGUGCAGGAGAGGCAGGCGGAAUUCCUAGUGUAGCGGUGAAAUGCGUAGAUAUUAGGAGGAACACCAGUGGCGAAGGCGGCCUGCUGGACUGCAACUGACGUUGAGGCUCGAAAGCGUGGGGAGCAAACAGGAUUAGAUACCCGAGUAGUC